UACGUAGGGUGCAAGCGUUAAUCGGAAUUACUGGGCGUAAAGCGUGCGCAGGCGGUUAUGUAAGACAGAUGUGAAAUGCCCGGGCUCAACCUGGGAACUGCAUUUGUGACUGCAUGGCUAGAGUUUGGCAGAGGGGGGUAGAAUUCCACGUGUAGCAGUGAAAUGCGUAGAGAUGUGGAGGAACACCGAUGGCGAAGGCAGCCCCCUGGGCCAAUACUGACGCUCAUGCACGAAAGCGUGGGGAGCAAACAGG
rnacentral:rRNA from 1 species